UGUCAAUAAUAAGUGCUGCUGUGAAGAGAACAAUUCUCACACUGAAUGUUGAACAGCAGCUGCUUUCUCCUGUUGCUUUAAACCUUGUUGUACAGAUGGAACUUUGGCUGUGGAUUAUUCUUGCUGCUCUUUUCUUUGGACUGAUAGCUGGAGACACAAUCGAUCCUGUAGGAGAUGUGGAAGUCAGCGAAAGAGAAGGAGAAACUGUCACACUCAGAUGUACAUAUCAGACGAGUUACACUGGUGUUGCCCUUCACUGGUACAGACAUCACUCUGAGCUUCAGGCACCUCAGUUUAUACUCUGGAAAGGAGCAAAAGGGUACACAUCUGAGUAUAUUCCUGACAAACGAUAUCAAUCUAAAACAUCAGAGACAUCAACUGAACUGACCAUCACAGUCCUGACCCUGGCAGACUCAGCUCUCUACUACUGUGCUCUAGAAACACACUGAUACAAAGUGUAGAAGAGGCUGUACAAAAACCUGAACACAGAUAUGUGACUACUCUUCAAAGAGGAGGGAAGUGGUAUUCAAACCACAGCUUCAUAUCAGAUGGAUUCUGCUCAUUCCUGUUCCAUCAGAGUCACUGUGGUUACAGCUGCUAAUGAAACACUGUGGGAGGAUUCACAUGAGCAGCAAAUCCACAUCACUGACAAACCACUGUGGGCCAUUCAGGCUCAAUCAGCUCCUUCCAUUGUUUAAUAUCCUUGGCAACAUGUUGGGCUCCAUCUGAAACAGACACUAAAGCACUGACUAAUAAACACUAACUGUGUACAAGCCAUAACAAAGACUGACUGCUGCAUUAUUUCUGACUGACACACAGGGCUGUGAAUGAGCCCUGUCACUGUGAUCAGGCUCCUCCUUCUAAUCCACCAACUUAGUGUUGAUGAAGACCAAACAGAGAGAUCACAGCCUUCUUUAUACUCGCUGGAGCUCACAGUUACUCAGCACUGCAGACAUGACGCCUCUGUUCACCUCACUGUUGCUGGCUGCUAUGUGCUUUGAAUGCAGAGCACAGAAAGACAACGUGCUGCAACCAAAAGAAGAUGUGACUGCUGCUGAAGGAGAGGCAGUAACACUUGGCUGUCAAUAUAACAGCAGUACAAGUGGUCCAACUCUCUUCUGGUACAAACAGGA